UGACCCUAGGUUAGGUGGAUUACUUGUUGAGUUUAAACAUAUCAAUAAGUGAAGGAAAAGAAACUUACUAGGAUUCCUCUAGUAACUACGAGCGAAUCGAGAAGUGCUCAACUUGAGAAUUGGGUAUCCCCAACUUUUGAAUUGUAGUCUGGAGAAGGAUCCUUAGCAACAAACCAAGGCCAAGUCCCCUGGAAAUGGGUGCUGGAAAGGGUGAAAGCCCCAUUAUGCUAGGAACCUAUCACACCACGAGGCACUAUUUGCGAGUCAGGUUGUUUGGGAAUGCAGCCCUAAUUAAGCAAAAAAUUUGAUCUAAGAUUGAAUAUGGGUGAGAGAUUGAUAGCGAACAAGUAUUACAAAGGAAAGAUAAGAAGGACUUUGAAAAAAAAUUCAAAGAGUGCUUGAAAUUAUCAUGAGAGAAGUAGAUAGGGCCUAGCAAUGAGCCACAAUCAGAUCUAGAAUGGCAAGAACUGGUCCAUCGAUUAGCUUGGGGUGUGGACCAACAUGGGUCAUGGCAAUGGCCCAAGCUUGGUCUUUCAAUAUGCCCAUGGAGACAUCAUAGUUAUGAUUAUGGAAUGCAGCAUGUGCUAUCUCGGCAUGCCUUGGCACCCACCAUCGGCUUACGGGCUCUAUAUCUGAUCCACCUUGAAAAAUGAACCAAAGAGUCUAACAUAUGUGUGAGUCAAUGGGCUAGGAAACUUGAAAGGCAUAAAGAAGCUGAUUAACAAGAUCCCUCAUGGGUGCACCAUCAACUAGCCUUCAUCUUCUAAGAAGGGUUCAAGUGCAAGCACACCUAUCGGGACCAAAAAGAUGGUGAACUAUGCCAAAGUAGGGUGAAGCUAGAGGAAACUCUGAUAGAGGCCCGUAGUGAUACUUACAUGUAAAUUGUUCAUCUGACUUGGGUAUAGGGGUGAAAGACUAAUUGAACUAUCUAGUAAUUGAUUCUUUUCAAAGUCUUUCAGGAUAAUUGGAGCCCUUAGCAAGUUUUUUUACAUGAAGUCAAUGAUUAGAGGCAUCAAGGGUGCAAUGCCCUUGACCUAUUCUCAAACUUUAAAUAGGUAGGAUGGCACGCCUACUUCAUUGAGCUGUGCCACAGAAUCAAGAGCUUUAAAUGGGCCAUUUUUGGUAAGUAGAAUUGGUGAUGUAGGAUGAAUUGAAAGUUGAGUUAUGAUGCCUAAUUGCACAUUAACCUAGAACCCACAAAGGGUGUUAGUCAAUUAAAAUAGCUGGAUUGUUGUCAUGGAAGUUGAAAUCUUUAAGGAGUGUGUAACAACUAACUUGCCAAAUCAACUAACCUAAAAAAUGGAUGGCGUUUAACUGCAUGACCCAUACCCAACCAUCAAGGCAAGGGCUAGGAUCUGAUAAGUAUGAGGGCAUAGUGGUCACUACAAAACCUAGGGCACGAGCUUGGGUAGAGCAACUGUUGAUGUUGAUCUUAGUGGUAGUAGCAAAUAUUCAAAUGAGAACCUUGAAGGCUGAAGAGGGGAAAGGUUCCAUGUGAAUGGCACUUGCACAUGGGUUAGUUGAUCCUAAAAGAAGGGGGAAACCCAUCUGACAGCACAUCCAACGUGAGCUUCAAAAGGGAAUCAAGUUAAAAUUCCUGAACUGGGAUGCGACAGCUAAUGGCAAUGUUAGGGAGUAUAGAGACAUCAGUGGAGGCCUCAGGAAUAGUUAUCUUUUCUAUUUAAUAGCCUACCCACCUUGGAAACAGCUCAGUUGGAGGUAGCAUCUAGCAGUCAAAAAAGCAUCACAAGUUAUGUGGUGUCCGGUGUGCCCUCAGUGGCCCUUGAAAAUCUAAAAGAUUAAGUGCCAAUGGUGCCCAAUCGUAGUCAUAAUGGCAUUAGGUCUCCAAGGUGAGCAGCCUCUAGUCGAUGGAACAAUCUAGGCAAAAGAAGUCGACAAAAUAGAUCCAUAACCUUGGGAAAAUGAUUAGCUCUGAGGGCUAGGCACAAGGGUCCCAAUCUUGAACCCAUUGGUUGCUGGUCUUCGUGUGCCAAUCGGGGGAUAGAUUGUAACAGCUCCCUCAAGGGCCUUUCUCAAGUGACAAAUAAUUGACUUGGAAUUGGUACGAACAAGGGGAAAUUUACUAUUUAAUUAAAAUAAAGAAUUACGAUGGUCCCUAUGGAUUUUCACACAAUGUGAUUUUUGCCCAGUGCUCUAAAUGUCAAAGUGAAGAAAUUCAACCAAGCACGGGAAAUUGGCUGGAGUAACUAUGACUCUCUUAAGGUAGCUAAAUGCCUUGUCAUCUUAUUAGUGAUGUGCAUGAAUGGAUUAAUGAGAGUCCUAAUAUCCCUAUCUACAAUCUAGUUAAAUGACAGCCAAGGGAAUGGGCUUGGCAAAAUUAGAGGGGAAAAAAAACCCUAUUGAGCUUGACUCUAGUCUAACUUUGUGAAAUAACUUGAAAGGUGGAGAAUAAGUGGGAUCCCUCAGGCAAAAUUGAAAAACCACUACUUUUAAUGUUAUUUUACUUAUUCAGUGAAUCGAGGUAGGGCACGACCCUUUCUUUUAGACCUAAGGUUAGCCUCGGUCGAUUGAUUUGGGCAGAAGACAUUCUUAGGUUGUGAGUUUGGUUGGGCCAACACAUCUGUUAAAAGAUAAUGUAAGUGUCCUAAGAUGAGCUCAACUAGAACAGAAAUCUUAUGGGGAGUAAAAAAGAUAAAACCAUGUUUGAUUCUAAUUUCCAGUAUGAAUAUGAAUGUUGAAAGCAUGGUCUAUCGAUCUUUUAAACCUUUGGAAUUUGAAGCUAAAGGUGUAAAAAAAUUACCAUAAGGAUAACUGGUUUUUGGUAGCUAAGCAUUCAUAGCAACAUUGCUUUUUUAUCCUUCGAUGUCGGUUCCUCUUAUUAUUAUGAAGCAGAAUUCACCAAGUAUUGGAUUGUUCACCUACCAAUAAAGAACAUGACCUGGGUUUAGACUGUCAUAAGAUAGGUUGGUUUUAUCAUAUUGAUGUCAGCAUCAAAAUAGUAAUUCAACCUAGUAUGAGAGGAAUAGUUGAUUCGCAUAAUUGGUCAUCGAACUUGGUUAAAAAGCCAAUGGCGUAAAGCUCUUGUACAUUAGAUUAUGAUUGAAUGCCUUUAAGACAUUUUUUUAGUAUCUGGCGAUGGUCCACCCGAUUGCCGACCCAUAGUAGGGGCACAUGGCCCCUAAGGGCAUGUAUCGUAAGUGCAGUCCUCAUAGUGGACAAGCUGUGAAGGCCUCUUUAGAGCUCAAUUCCCACCGAACAGUGGAUAAAAU
rnacentral:rRNA from 1 species